UUAGAUCGCAUCGUUCAAGGUGCCCGUCGGCGACUCGGCCGAGGGGAUAAUUGGGAAGCCGGUGAGAAACCGGCGCUGCCCCCGCAACGGUAGCGAAGCGUGCGUUCCGACUGAAACCACUGGGCAAAGCCUGGGAAGGUGUCGGGACAAGUCCGCCAGGACGGCUUCGGAGCCCGGAAACCAGCCUCGAACACAAUGGAACU
rnacentral:ncRNA from 2 species